GCAGGCUUAACACAUGCAAGUGUAACGCUCCGCAAGGAGAGUGGCAGACGGGUGAGUAACACGUGGGAAUCUACCCUUUACUACGGAAUAACGCAUGGAAACGUGUGCUAAUACCGUAUGUGUCCUUCGGGAGAAAGAUUUAUCGGUAAAGGAUGAGCCCGCGUUGGAUUAGCUAGUUGGUGGGGUAAAGGCCUACCAAGGCGACGAUCCAUAGCUGGUCUGAGAGGAUGAUCAGCCACAUUGGGACUGAGACACGGCCCAAACUCUACGGGAGGCAGCAGUGGGGAAUAUUGGACAAUGGGCGCAAGCCUGAUCCAGCCAUGCCGCGUGAGUGAUGAAGGCCCUAGGGUUGUAAAGCUCUUUCACCGGAGAAGAUAAUGACGGUAUCCGGAGAAGAAGCCCCGGCUAACUUCGUGCCAGCAGCCGCGGUAAUACGAAGGGGGCUAGCGUUGUUCGGAUUUACUGGGCGUAAAGCGCACGUAGGCGGAUCGAUCAGUCAGGGGUGAAAUCCCAGAGCUCAACUCUGGAACUGCCUUUGAUACUGUCGAUCUGGAGUAUGGAAGAGGUGAGUGGAAUUCCGAGUGUAGAGGUGAAAUUCGUAKAUAUUCGGAGGAACACCAGUGGCGAAGGCGGCUCACUGGUCCAUUACUGACGCUGAGGUGCGAAAAGCGUGGGGAGCAAACAGGAUUAGAUACCCUGGUAGUCCACGCCGUAAACGAUGAUUGUUACCCGUCGGGCAAGUAUACUGUUCGGGUGGCGCAGCCUAACCGCAUUAAACAUUCCGCCUGGGGGAGGUACGGUCGCCAGAUUUA
rnacentral:rRNA from 1 species